AGCAUCUCCUGAUCAGUGUUAGCAGAGCACUGCGAAGCGCACUGUGCAGAGCUCUCAUGACUGCACGAAGGAAUUUAUGCAUGCAACUCUCAAACGGCUUUGAUAUAUAACCCCGCAGAAUCAGUGUCAGAGGUGGAUGUUGGUGUAUGGCUGCAGAGGCUGAACCUUCCCACCAAUAUUCUGUUAUGUUUUAUUGCUGUACAACAGAUGGCAACAGAGCAGUGGUCUGACAAAAUGGAGUCUGACAUGGAAGGGCGAAUGAAGAAAAGGUGCGUCACUGAAUUCCUCCACGAGGAAAAAACUGCAUACAUUAACA
ensembl:lncRNA